GACGAACGCUGGCGGCGUGCCUAAUACAUGCAAGUUGAGCGCUGAAGGUUGGUACUUGUACCAACUGGAUGAGCAGCGAACGGGUGAGUAGCGCGUGGGGAAUCUGCCUUUGAGCGGGGGACAACAUUUGGAAACGAAUGCUAAUACCGCAUAAAAACUUUAAACACAAGUUUUAAGUUUGAAAGAUGCAAUUGCAUCACUCAAAGAUGAUCCCGCGUUGUAUUAGCUAGUUGGUGAGGUAAAGGCUCACCAAGGCGAUGAUACAUAGCCGACCUCAGAGGGUGAUCGGCCACAUUGGGACUGAGACCAGGCCCAAACUCCUACGGGGGGCAGCAGUAGGGAAUCUUCGGCAAUGGCCGAAAGUCUGGCCGAGCAACGCCGCGUGAGUGAAGAAGGUUUUCGGAUCGUAAAACUCUGUUGGUAGCGAAGAACGUUGGUGAGAGUGGAAAGCUCAUCAAGUGACGGUAACUACCCAGAAAGGGACGGCUAACUACGUG
rnacentral:rRNA from 1 species